AUCAAGCUACUCAAAUAAAGCAUAUGGUGGAUGCCUUGGCAUAAUGUGCCGAAGAAGGACGUAAUAAGCCGCGAUAGUCGUCGGUGAGGAGCUAAUAUCCUUUGACCCGGCGGUGUCCGAAUGGGGUAACCCCGGUUCGUGUAAACGGACUGGACCGAGAGAUUUAUCUUUCGGUCGGUAACCCGGAGAACUGAAACAUCUAAGUACCCGGAGGAAAAGAAAUCGAAUGAGAUUUCCUUAGUAGCGGUGAGCGAAAAGGAAAUAGCCUAAACCCAUAUUUAUAUGGGUGUUGCAGGACCAGAUAUAUGAUGUUGUUUCGAUAGAAGAACACCGUGGAAUAGGUGGCCAUAGAGAGUGACAGCCUCGUAAUCGAAAUUGAAGCAACAUUAAUUUGGCACCUAAGUACGUUGGGAGACGGCAAACUCCCUGCGGAAUCCGCCCCGACCACGGGGCAAGGCUAAAUACACAUUAUGACCGAUAGUGAACGAGUACCGUGAGGGAAAGGUGAAAAGAUGGGUGAGACACCCAGUGAAAUAGUACCUGAAACCGUAUGCUAACAAACAGACAGAGCUUCGAUUUAUCGGAGUAAUGUCGUGCCUAUUGAAGAAUGACCCGUCGAGUUUGCAUGUACUGCUAGUCUAAGUGAUAUCGUCACGGAGGCGUAGUGAAAGCGAGGAUGAAUAGUCCGUUUAGCAGUGCGUCCAAGACCCGAAACCGGUGUGAGCUAACCAUGAGCAGGGUGAACUGUGAGUAAAAUCACAGGAAGGCCCGAACCAGUAACUGCUGCAAAAGUUUUGGAUGACUUGUGGUUAGGGGUAAUAUGCCAAUCGAACCCGGAGAUAGCUGGUUCUCCCCGAAAUAUAUUUAGGUAUAGCCUUGAGUAAUUGCAUGCGUGGGGGUAGAGCACUGAAAAGGUAUAGUGAAGCAAUUCAUUGUACUUUAUCAAACUCCGAAUACCAUGUAUGUUUAUCUCAGGAGUCAGUCCUUGGGAGCUAAGUUCCAGGGGCAAAAGGGAAACAACCCAGAUCGUCAAUUAAGGUCUCAAAAUCAUAGCUAAGUGGCUCAAGGAAGUCAUAAUCCAUAUACAGCUAGGAGGUCGGCUCAGAAGCAGCCAUCCUUGAAAGAAAGCGUAACAGCUCACUAGUCUCGGAUUGUGGCGCCGAAGAUCCAACGAGGCUCAAGCUAUGUACCGAAAUUACGGAUUGUCACACAUUUAUGUGUGAUUCUGGUAGGGGAGCGUUCUAACAGCAGUGAAGUCGUUUUGUAAGAAACGGUGGAGCGGUUAGAAGUGAGAAUGGCGGGAUGAGUAGCNNNNNNNNNNNNNNNNNNNNNNNNNNNNNNNNNNNNNNNNNNNNNNNNNNNNNNNNNNNNNNNNNNNNNNNNNNNNCCCUAAGGUGAGGCUGGUGUAAUGCCGGCGUAGCCGAUGGAUUACCGGUUGAUAUUCCGGUUCUCUAGGGCGUUCGUUAUCAGCUUGGGGAGGGACGGUUUAGGAAGAGCGGGGCGCAUUACAUGAAUUUGCGUCCAAUCGCUGAGGCAGUUGGCUAUAGGAAAAUCCGUAGCCGGCGUUACAACCCGAGGUGUUAUGGGGAAUGUGGACCUUGUGUCCGCGUGACUCCGCAACCUUUCUGAAUCCAAGAAAAUCUUCAUGAGCGAGAAUGUUUUAGAUCCGUACCGCAAACCGACACAGGUGAACUGGUAGAGUAUACCAAGGUGAGCGAGAGAACCUUCCUUAAGGAACUCGGCAAAUUAGCUAGGCGUAACUUAGGGAGAUGCCUAACCUGUUUUUUUGGUACUUGUAUCAAAAAAAUGGGUCGCAGAUAAAGACUAUGAGGUGACUGUUUAACAAAAACACAGGUCUGUGCGAAGACGUAAGUCAACGUAUACGGGCUGAGGCCUGCCCAGUGCCAGAAGGUUAACUGAGAGGGUAACCCCGACUUGUUCGGGAUAGCCUUUGAUUGAAGCCCUGGUGAACGGCAGCAGUAACUAUA
rnacentral:rRNA from 1 species